rnacentral:rRNA from 1 species
UACGUAGGGUGCAAGCGUUAAUCGGAAUUACUGGGCGUAAAGCGUGCGCAGGCGGUUAUGUAAGACAGGUGUGAAAUCCCCGGGCUUAACCUGGGAACUGCAUUUGUGACUGCAUAGCUAGAGUACGGUAGAGGGGGAUGGAAUUCCGCGUGUAGCAGUGAAAUGCGUAGAUAUGCGGAGGAACACCGAUGGCGAAGGCAAUCCCCUGGACCUGUACUGACGCUCAUGCACGAAAGCGUGGGGAGCGGAACAGG